CUGGAAGUGGAAAGAAGAGUGUUGCAGAUUCCGGGUGCCGGUUCUUAGGACCUUGGGAGGUGUGUUUUGACCUGCUGGAGGGGCUGGGAGCCUUGAGUCAGCUCACCGGGAGGAGCGAGCAUCUCCGGUGAAUUCUUGCGGCGCAGGGUGAACGUUCCCUGGCGUAGUCCAUCCCGCAGGAGGAUCUGCUCUGGCUAGAUGGCUACCUUAGUUUCUGUGACGAUCUGAUACUUUGGUGGCUUACCAUGGCCCAGCGGGCAGUGUGGCUCAUACGUCACGAACCGGGAAAUCCACUCGGUGGCACUGUCAAGUUCUCCAGACGAUAUCCUACUGUUGAAAAGCGAGCCAAAGUCUUCAAUGGAAAGAGUUAUGUUCCUGUACCCGAAGAUGGUCCCUUUCUUAAGGCAUUACUCUUUCAACUUAGGUUAUUGGAUGAUGAUAAGGACUUUGUGGAGAGGCGAGAUAGCUGUUCACACAUCAAUAAAUCAUCCAUCUAUGGGCUUUUAGUAGGAGGUGAAGAACUCUGGCCAGUCGUUGCUUUUCUAAGGAAUGAUAUGAUAUAUGCAAGUGUUCCCCUGGUUGAACAAACUCUGUCCCCUCGCCCAUCUUUAAUUAGUAUUAGUGGAGUUUCACAAGGCUUGGAACUGCUUUUUGGGAUACAGGAUUUUCUUUACUCAAGUCAGAAAAAUGACACUGACCUAAACACAAAAUUGAGUCAGCUGCCUGACUUGCUUCUCCAGGCUUGUCCAUUGGGUACUUUAUUGGAUGCUAACUUGCAGAAUUCAUUGAAUAGUAUUAAUUUCUCAUCUGUGACUCAGCCACAAAAACAGCCAGCCUGGAAAGUUGGAACAUACAAAGGAAAACCACAGAUUUCUAUUUCUAUCACUGAAAAAGUAAAAUGCAUGCAGUAUGGUAAACAGGAUAUAGCAGACACAUGGCAAGUUGUUGGAACAGUCGCUUGCAAGGUGAGCUUUUCUCCAGGAUUUUUGCUUUGUCAUACCAUUUGACACUGAAAAACAGUACAAUUUGCAGCUUGUAUUUUACAUUUUUAAAUGAUAUGCUUGUUCUCCUUAGCAGCAGCCGUGGAAUUUCAUAGUAUCUUUCUGUAGUUUGUAAAAAUUGUUUAAGAGUUCAGUG
rnacentral:lncRNA from 1 species